UACGGAGGGGGCGAGCGUCAUUCGGAAUUAUUGGGCGUAAAGGGCGCGUGGGCGGCCUUGUAAGUCAAAGGUGAAAUCCCUCGGCUCAACUGAGGAACUGCCUUUGAAACUGCAAGGCUUGAGGCCGGGAGGGGGUAGCGGAAUUCCCAAUGUAGCGGUGAAAUGCGUAGAUAUUGGGAGGAACACCAGUGGCGAGGGCGGCUACCUGGACCGGUUCUGACGCUGAGGCGCGAAAGCGUGGGUAGCAAACAGG
rnacentral:rRNA from 1 species